rnacentral:rRNA from 1 species
ACGGGUGAGUAACACGUGGGAACGUACCCUUUGGUUCGGAAUAACGCUGGGAAACUAGCGCUAAUACCGGAUACGCCCUUUUGGGGAAAGGCUUGCUGCCGAAGGAUCGGCCCGCGUCUGAUUAGCUAGUUGGUGGGGUAAUGGCCUACCAAGGCGACGAUCAGUAGCUGGUCUGAGAGGAUGAUCAGCCACACUGGGACUGAGACACGGCCCAGACUCCUACGGGAGGCAGCAGUGGGGAAUAUUGGACAAUGGGCGCAAGCCUGAUCCAGCCAUGCCGCGUGAGUGAUGAAGGCCUUAGGGUUGUAAAGCUCUUUUGUCCGGGACGAUAAUGACGGUACCGGAAGAAUAAGCCCCGGCUAACUUCGUGCCAGCAGCCGCGGUAAUACGAAGGGGGCUAGCGUUGCUCGGAAUCACUGGGCGUAAAGGGCGCGUAGGCGGCCAUUCAAGUCGGGGGUGAAGGCCUGUGGCUCAACCACAGAAUUGCCUUCGAUACUGUUUGGCUUGAGUUUGGUAGAGGUUGGUGGAACUGCGAGUGUAGAGGUGAAAUUCGUAGA